AUGGUGACAAUGGGAAGGGAACAGGAAGCUCAACCGUGGAUGGGAAGCAUGGAAGAACUAGCCACUUGGUUCCAUCUUCAAGAAAGAGAAGGUUUAUUAAAGUUGAAUUUGGCUCUGUGCGCACAUAGCUAUCUACUAUAUUUCACAUUGAACUGCCGGCAUUCAUUGGCUUUGCUGGUUGUCGCAUGUAUGAAUAAUUGAAUACACAUAUAUAAGCCUAAUCUCUACAUGGUCCCAUCACCUGAUGAUAUGGAUCUGUUUAAAAUAUGGUCCACUCUACCCAAGUUGACAGCAUACAUACAUAAUAAAAGAAAAAGGUUAGUAAAUAGCAAAAGAUAAGUCGGGUACCAGUACACGGGGCCGAAGCACAAUGGGCCUACCCUGAUGCACAGGAAUACAGGUGCAAAAAAAAUCUAGUACAGGAAGACUUGUCAUCAAGAAAAGGCCUACGCAUCAGGUUGGGCCUGCAGGGGUGCAUCAGGGCCCAGAGUUUCCAACCGCCUACACUAAGACAGCGCAGCUCGAUCAUCGAUCUGCGGUGGGAUGGAUCGAUCCAGAUUCAGAAGAAAACGAAUCGGGAGCAGAAAAACGAAUAGGUUUCCUCUAAAAAAAGGAAAAAGAAUCGGCAGGCCCUGCCAAUCGGUUUCUUCUCUGUUCAUCUUUUUCCCAAUCCCCAUGACGGGCAUGCGAUCAUGCAAAAGGCAAGCGCAUCGGCCUGCUCGCACAGGCACAGCCGAACGACGCAGGGGGCACAGUGGCACAGGCAGGGCAGACGGCGUCACGGCGACGUCUAACGGGGCCGACGCAGGCAUCGAGUCCCUGUCCCGAUGCCGACGUGCGCCCCUGCAGGCCGCGCCCUUGCCAAGGACGCAAAAAUCGACCUCAAUUGUACUCUUUUUACCGGUAGUGUUUCUAAUCUUUGCAGUAUAUUUUUUUUUUUGCAAGGAUUGUGGUUAGUACUUGUUUAAAAAUAUAAGUUUUGGCAAAACGUGAAACAUUGGCCAAGGUUUAUGUGAUUGGUACAGUUCAUUCUCUAAGGGCUUGGGCAAGUUUCCAAAGCCGUGACAGAGGAAUAAAGGAUGGGUACCUGCGGCUGCUUCGGGCGGGCCAGCGAGGAAGGGCGUGGGGGGAGUCCGCCGCCGGCGGAGAUCCCACCGCCGGAGCUCGUGGUAGGCCGCGACGGCGGGGCCUCGGCUCGGCUCGGCUCGACCCGACCUUCAUCCAUGUAUUUGAGCGCACUAAACAAACCAACCCUAGAUCUAUUCUCUUUCUUCUUCUUUUCCCCCAAUUUCUUUCUCUUCCCGCCGCACUUAAUUUUUAGAUAGCAAAUGAGAAAAGGAUCCGUCCCCUCUCCUGCGCUAGUGUCUGAGGCGAUUUCGAGGAAAGUCCCCUCCGUCGGCGGUCCGUCCCGGCUCAGGUGGCAUCCUCCAUGGCCUGUGGAGUCUGGAGAAAGAAGACGACCAAAAGGACUUUGUUGUAAUUUGUUUUCUUUUGUAGGGUCGUUUUGCAAUUCUCCCUCUACCAGCAGGAGCAGUUUUCAGAAUUGCUGAAAAGCUCAACAGGAUCAGUUCUCUGAACCAACAAGAACCGUCAGACAGGACCAAUUCUCAUGUGACAUGCUUAUAACAUGAUCGCUGCUCUCAACUAGUAUGAAUUGUCAGUCAGACAGGACCUUCCUCUUCCUGCAUACAGAGAUUAAUGAGCUUCAUUAUAUAUGAACUUGAUAUGACCAGCACAAAAAAUAUUAAUGUAGGAAUUGAGAACUGCUGCAGGAUUUCUUAUGUGUCUUCAAUUAACAACUACUUCGGUUCUUAUGUGUCUUCAAUCAAUCGAAAUGAAGAAAAGUAGUAUGCAAGGUGAUACCGUGAGAUCCUAAUUCGGUAUAGAUGAGUAUGUAAGGUGGAUGUAAUUUCAAGACUCCAACUUCACUAAUAAGAUGAUUUUCGUUUUAUCAUA